ensembl:processed_transcript Gm10433 predicted gene 10433
CCUCAGGCAGCCUCUCCCAACGUGUUUACCAAGUGUACCUGGAGUGGGAAGUGUCUACUGUGACUUGUUCAUGUCAAGCCAGAUCCUGAUGUUAGAAAGAGAUCCCAGAAUGCUAACAAGUUGGGAAUUCUUGGGUUUCCAACUUGAUGUGAAACAAGCUCUCCUCUGAAACUGUGUUCAACACGUAGAGCUGGCGCACCAAAAUCGGUGGUCUUGAGUCACAAAUCUCCUGGGCUUUGGAAGGCAUUGAUGACCCAGCAGCAUGCCUUAGGAGUGGUGGCAUGGUGGGGGCUCAGGAGCCCAGGGCUUCUGGCCUUUGGAGCCUGCCUGUUGAGGGUGCUAAUUCUCCUACUGCUGCCCCGCCUACUGCUGCCCCGCCUACUGCUGCCCCGCCUACUGUUGACCCCUCAGCUCUUCAAUUUUGGUUCUGAAUCGACUUCAGACCUGCUCUGCUGUUUUGGCAGACUGAUCUCUCAAAGAAUGAAGAGAAGAAGCGCACCCUCUGUUUGUCCCUGAAGCUUAUUGUUUGCAAGCUAAUCCCCCGCGCGUGUUUUCCCUCGCAUGUAACCCUCACACCAAGCCCAAGGUGUAUUGUCCAUACACCGGUUUCACAGAUUAAAUAGUUGGUACUGGGGAGCAACGGAAGCAAGCAACCUUGGAAACUAGGCGAUGCUGUUUUACAACCUUGUCUUUUGCUUGGGAAGUCACUGUUUCUUUGUCAGAACUAAAUGAAAAAAAGCCCAGUAGCCUGCCAUUGAAACAGUGCAGAAUUUCUGCAUUUCACUUGGCUUAUAGAAGAGGAUGUGAAAAGGAAGGGAGUGUAGCUAUACUCAUUUGUACA